rnacentral:ncRNA from 1 species
AAUAUGAAAUAACUAUUUUCGUAUAACCCCAAUAAUGUGGUUUGGGGGUCUCUACCAGGAAUCCAAAAUUCCUGAUUACGAAGAAGAUAUAUUAU